rnacentral:rRNA from 1 species
UACGAAGGGGGCUAGCGUUGUUCGGAAUCACUGGGCGUAAAGGGCGCGUAGGCGGCUUUAUAAGUCGGGGGUGAAAGCCUGUGGCUCAACCACAGAAUUGCCUUCGAUACUGUAGAGCUUGAGUCCGGAAGAGGUAAGUGGAACUGCGAGUGUAGAGGUGAAAUUCGUAGAUAUUCGCAAGAACACCAGUGGCGAAGGCGGCUUACUGGUCCGGUACUGACGCUGAGGUGCGAAAGCGUGGGGAGCAAACAGG